rnacentral:rRNA from 1 species
AUUGAACGCUGGCGGCAUGCUUUACACAUGCAAGUCGAACGGCAGCACGGACUUCGGUCUGGUGGCGAGUGGCGAACGGGUGAGUAAUACAUCGGAACGUACCCAGUAAUGGGGGAUAACUAUCCGAAAGGAUAGCUAAUACCGCAUACGCCCUACGGGGGAAAGAGGGGGAUCGCAAGACCUCUUGUUAUUGGAGCGGCCGAUGGCUGAUUAGCUAGUUGGUGAGGUAAAGGCUCACCAAGGCGACGAUCAGUAGCGGGUCUUAGAGGACGAUCCGCCACACUGGAACUGAGACACGGUCCAGACUCCUACGGGAGUCAGCAGGGGGGAAUCUUGGACAAUGGGCGCAAGCCUGAUCCAGCAAUGCCGCGUGCGUGAAGAAGGCCUUCGGGUUGUAAAGCGCUUUUGUCAGGGAGCAGAUCCUUGUGGCUAAUACCCGCCGGGGAUGAGAGUACCUGAAGAAUAAGGACCGGCUAACUACGUGCCAGCCGCCGCCGUAA